CUGGAGAUCGGACGGAUGCUACGUCGUCCUGUUAAUCUCAGAUGGAAAAAAUGCAAAAUCUCAAGCAGUUAUUGCUUGCAACAGAUGUCGCUACGGCAGCGGCGCUUCCAUUUUGAAAACCUGUCAAGUGUAUAUGUUCCAGCGUACUGCGUCAUCCCGUUUAACUCAGGUACCGAGCAUUAGAAGAGUCCAGCAGGAAUACAUAU
rnacentral:lncRNA from 1 species